GACGAACGCUGGCGGCGUGCUUAACACAUGCAAGUCGAACGGAAAGGCCCUGCUUGCAGGGUACUCGAGUGGCGAACGGGUGAGUAACACGUGGGUGAUCUGCCCUGCACUUCGGGAUAAGCCUGGGAAACUGGGUCUAAUACCGGAUAGGAGCCAUUUUUAGUGUGAUGGUUGGAAAGUUUUUUUCGGUGUAGGAUGAGCUCGCGGCCUAUCAGCUUGUUGGUGGGGUAAUGGCCUACCAAGGCGGCGACGGGUAGCCGGCCUGGGAGGGUGGACGGCCACAUUGGGACUGAGAUACGGCCCAGACUCCUACGGGAGGCAGCAGUGGGGAAUAUUGCACAAUGGGCGCGAGCCUGAUGCAGCGACGCCGCGGGGGGGAUGACGGCCUUCGGGUUGUAAACUCCUUUCGCUAGGGACGAAGCUUUUUGUGACGGUACCUAGAUAAGAAGCACCGGCUAACUACGUG
rnacentral:rRNA from 1 species